rnacentral:rRNA from 1 species
AAGCGUGCGCAGGCGGUUAUGUAAGACAGAUGUGAAAUCCCCGGGCUCAACCUGGGAACUGCAUUUGUGACUGCAUGGCUAGAGUACGGUAGAGGGGGAUGGAAUUCCGCGUGUAGCAGUGAAAUGCGUAGAUAUGCGGAGGAACACCGAUGGCGAAGGCAAUCCCCCUGGACCUGUACUGACGCUCAUGCACGAAAGCGUGGGGAGCAAACAGGAUUAGAUACCCUUGU